GAUGAAGAACGUAGCGAAAUGCGAUAAGUAGUGUGAAUUGCAGAAUUCAGUGAAUCAUCGAAUCUUUGAACGCCCAUUGCGCCCCUUGGUAUUCCAUGGGGCAUGCCUGUUCGAGCGUCAUUUGUACCUUCAAGCUUUGCUUGGUGUUGGGUGUUUGUCUCGCCUUUGCGUGUAGACUCGCCUUAAAAUAAUUGGCAGCCGGCGUAUUGAUUUCGGAGCGCAGUACAUCUCGCGCUUUGCACUCAUAACGACAGCGUCCAAAAGUACAUUUUACACUCUUGACCUCGGAUCAGGUAGGGAUACCCGCUGAACUUAAGCAUAUCAAUAAGCGGAGGA
rnacentral:misc_RNA from 1 species